UAUUGGUCAAUGGCCGGAAGGCUGAACCAGCCAAGUCGCGUGAGGGAAUAAGGCCCUAUGGGUCGUAAACCUCUUUUGUCAGGGAGCAAAGGCGUCCACGUGUGGACGAAAGGAGAGUACCUGAAGAAAAAGCAUCGGCUAACUCCGUGCCAGCAGCCGCGGUAAUACGGAGGAUGCGAGCGUUAUCCGGAUUUAUUGGGUUUAAAGGGUGCGUAGGCGGAGUGUCAAGUCGGCGGUAAAAUUUCGGGGCUCAACCCCGUCGUGCCGUUGAAACUGACACUAUUGAGUGAGUGAGAAGUAAGCGGAAUGCGUGGUGUAGCGGUGAAAUGCAUAGAUAUCGCGCAGAACUCCGAUUGCGAAGGCAGCAUGCCGGCUCCACACUGACGCUGAGGCACGAAAGCGUGGGUAUCG
rnacentral:rRNA from 1 species